rnacentral:tRNA from 1 species
GGAUCGAUAGCUCAGUGGUAGAGGUAAGCAUAAAUCCAAGAUCUCUAGGUCACGCGUUCGAUCCGCGUUCGGUCCU